rnacentral:rRNA from 1 species
UGCCAGCCGCCGCGGUAAUACGAAGGGACCUAGCGUAGUUCGGAAUUACUGGGCUUAAAGAGUUCGUAGGUGGUUGAAAAAGUUGGUGGUGAAAUCCCAGAGCUUAACUCUGGAACUGCCAUCAAAACUUUUCAGCUAGAGUAUGAUAGAGGAAAGCAGAAUUUCUAGUGUAGAGGUGAAAUUCGUAGAUAUUAGAAAGAAUACCAAAGGCGAAGGCAACUAUCUGGUUUUAUUACUGACACUGCAGAAUGAAGGCUUCGGUAGCAAAUCGGAUUAGAUA